GACGAACGCUGGCGGCGUGCCUAAUACAUGCAAGUCGAACGAGUGGCGGACGGGUGAGUAACACGUGAUAACCUACCUAUAAGACUGGGAUAACUUCGGGAAACGGUAGCUAAUACCGCAUACCAUCAGAUGUGCCCAGAUGGGAUUAGCUAGUAGGUGGGGUAACGGCUCACCUAGGCGACGAUCCCUAGCUGGUCUGAGAGGAUGACCAGCCACACGGGAACUUAGACACGGUCCAGACUCCUACGGGAGGCAGCAGUGGGGAAUAUUGCACAAUGGGCGCAAGCCUGAUGCAGCCAUGCCGCGUGUAUGAAGAAGGCCUUCGGGUUGUAAAGUACUUUCAGCGGGGAGGCGUUACCCGCAGAAGAAGCACCGGCUAACUCCGUGCCAGCAGCCGCGGUAAUUC
rnacentral:rRNA from 1 species